GGAAACAUGAAAACUACCGUUGGAUCGAGAAAUGGACGUCCGAGAUUCGUCCACGUCACCCUGAGUUAAAAUUUAACUCGUAGAUUCACUCAUGGUUAAAUUUUACUAGGAGGAGUUAAAUUUUAACUCAUGGUGACGUGGACGAAUCUCGGACGUCCAUUUCUCGAUCCAACGGUAGUUUCCAAGUUUUC
rnacentral:pre_miRNA from 1 species